rnacentral:rRNA from 1 species
CAUUGUGUGUUUUUACACCCGAGUUGUAAUUUGAAGAAGGAUUUCUGGCACAGGCCCCCCGUCUAUGUUCCUUGGAACAGGACGUCACAGAGGGUGAGAAUCCCGUCUGGCGGGGAGGGACCAGUGGCAUUGUAGAUUUCCUUCGACGAGUCGAGUUGUUUGGGAAUGCAGCUCUAAGUGGGUGGUAAAUUCCAUCUAAAGCUAAAUAUUGGCGAGAGACCGAUAGCGAACAAGUACAGUGAUGGAAAGAUGAAAAGAACUUUGAAAAGAGAGUGAAAAAGUACGUGAAAUUGUUGAAAGGGAAGGAUAUUGGAUCAGACUUGGUGUUGGACGGUACCUCGCCACUUGUUGGCGGGAUCACCCGUUCCUCACUGGGCCAGCAUCGGUUUUUGCGGCGGGAUAAUUGCUCAGGGAACGUGGCUCUGC